rnacentral:rRNA from 1 species
UACGUAGGGUGCAGGCGUUACUCGGAAUUACUGGGCGUAAAGCGUGCGCAGGCGGUUUGCUAAGACAGGUGUGAAAUCCCCGGGCUUAACCUGGGAACUGCGCUUGUUACUGGCAGGCUUGAGUGUGGCAGAGGGGGGUGGAAUUCCACGUGUAGCAGUGAAAUGCGUAGAGAUGUGGAGGAACACCGAUGGCGAAGGCAGCCCCCUGGGCUAACACUGACGCUGAUGCACGAAAGCGUGGGGAGCAAACAGG